AGCAACAGGCCUGGUUCACCACUACGAGCGAAGAUAAAACUGUUCAAUGAACUUUGUCUGCGCCGUUUGUGUAUUGCCUAGGUGAGGUCUGCUGUAAGAGGUUGCUGGGUUAUAUGGAAAACAAAGCAUUUCUCUGUACCUAGGUACACGUGACCAUAAAAUAUAAUCGAGACAAACCCAAGUGUUUAGUAAUGAUACUGUAAUAAAUUAAAAUCUUCCCUUUUGCAAAAGGAUGGUAAUUGGCUGAGUUGGGCACAUCAUUUAAAUCAUAAAUGUCUUCAUAACUGAAAACUUUCCCCCUUUACAUUUGUGCAUGCAAAGUAGCUAUUUGAAUUUUAGUGUUAUACUAGAACAAGUGCAGACCGUUGGGUCUGCUCCCCCAACGCACCCGUCCCCGUCCCCCACGGCAGGCGUGGUCCUCCAACUCAACCCAUUGCCGAAGGUAAGAUUCGAGCACUCCUCAGCAAAUAUUGUAGCUCGUGAGCCUCCCCAUGCACCGGAGUUGAAAAUAAAAUCAAUCCACAAUUGCAAUACCAAUUGACCCUCCCCCUCCUGUCCUACCAGGAGCUAUGAUGGCAACAUUGUUGCAAAUGUCGGGCGCACUUGCUGUGAGAUGCCAUUGAGCUGAAACGUUCAGAGUGGUGCCAGUGUUCCUGUCUUGCAACUUUGUAUCAAAGUGUGUUGGAAGCUCUGAGGAAUGAUUUUAAAGUAAAAACCACUUUAUAUUCAAAGUAAUUUUUAAACAUUUUCAUUAAUAACUCGAGAAAUAAACCAUGAAAUUGUCAGAUAAGUAGGUUUUGGACACAAUGGGAAAAACAUUUAAGAAACUGAUAGACUGAUACAUGAAUAGGACAGGUUUGAAGGGAUAUGGACCAAAAGCAAGUAGUGUAUCUGGAACAUGUUGGCAGGUGUGGGCAAGUUGCGCCGAAGGGCCUGUAUUCACACUAUCACUUUAUGACUAAAUUAUGCCUCCACCAUGCAUGAAUAUUUCAAAAUCAAGCGGUCGAGUUCUAUUGCCAUAUACUUAAGCAAAAUAGGUGCAGGAAUAGGCCAUUCGGCCCUUCGAGCCAGCACUGCCAUUCAAUAGGAUCAUGGCUGUUCAUCUAAAAUCAGUACCUCUUUCCUGCUUUUCUCCCCAUAUCCCUUGAUUUUGCUCGCCCCAAGCUAAAUGUAACUCUCUUGAAAACAUCCAGUGAAUUGGCCUCCACUGCCUUCUGUGGCAGAGGAUUCCACAGAUUCACAACUCUCUUUGUGAAGAAAGUUUGUCCUUAUUUCAGUCCUAACUGGUCAAUCCUUUGUUCUUAAACUGUGACCCCUGGUUCUGAACUUCCCCAACAUCGGGAACAUUUUUCCUGUAGUUACAGUAAGUGAAAAUCUAGCAAGCAAGCAGGAUGGCAGACAAAAUUGGUUGGCAGACGGGAAACAAAGAGUAGGGAUUAACAGGUCCCUUUCAGAAUGGCAGGCAGUGACUAGUGGGGUACCGCAAGGCUCUGUGCUGGGACUGCAGCUAAUUACAAUAUACAUCAAUGAUUUAGAUGAAGGGAUUCAAGGUAACAUUAGCAAAUUUUCAGAUGAUACAAAGCUGGGUGGCAGUGUGAACUGUGAGGAGGAUGCUAUGAGAAUGCAGGGUGACAUACAGAUUGGGUGAGUGGACAGAUGCAUGGCAGAUGCAGUUUAAUGUGGAUAAAUGUGUGGUUAUCCACUUUGGUAACAAAAACAGGAAGGCAGAUUAUUGUCUAAAUGGUGUCAAGGUGGGAAAAGGGGAAAUACAACGGGAUCCGGGGGUCCUUGUUCAUCAGUCAAUGAAAGUAAGCAUACAAGUACAGCAGGCAGUGAAGAAAGUGAAUGGCAUGUUGGCCUUCAUAACAAGAGGAGUUGAGUAGGAGCAAAGAGGUCCUUCUGCAGGUGUAUGGGGCCCUAGAGAGACCACACCUGGAGUAUUGUGUGCAAGUAUUUGAGACAUUCUUGCUAUUGAUGGAGUGCUGCGUAGGUCUACAUGGUUAAUUCCUGGGAUGGCGGGACUGUGGUAUGCUGAGAGAAUGGAGCGGCUGGGCUUGUAUACUCUGGAGUUUAGAAGGAUGAGAGGGUAUCUUAUUGAAACAUAUAAGAUUAUUAAGGGUUUGGACACGCUAGAGGCAGGAAACAUGUUCCCGAUGUUGGGGGAGUCUAGAACCAGGGACCACAGUUUAAGAAUAAGGGGUAAACCAUAGAAAGGAGACGAGGAAACACUUUUUCUCACAGGGAGUUGUCAGUCUGUGGAAUUCUCUGCCUCAAAGGGCGGUGGAGGCUGGUUCUCUGGAUACUUUCGAGAGAGAGCUUGAUCGGGCUCUUAAAGAUAGCGGAGUUGGGGGAUGUGGAGAGAAGGCAGGAACAGGGUACUGAUUGGGGAUGACCAGCCAUGAUCACAUUGAAUGGCGGUGCUGGCUCGAAGGGCCGAAUGGCCUACUCCUGCACCUAUUUUCUGUUGUCUAUUGUCUGUCCAUCUACUGACCCUUUGUUCCUUGCACUUGCCCAAAACUGCUCACAAUGCUCCUGUUUUCAUAAUCUUACAAUCCCCUGUUUUUAUAUACUCAAAAUAAAUACUAACAUUGCAUUUGACUUCCUUGCGUCUGAUUCUACUUGCAAAUUAACAUUUUGUGAAUCCUGCACCAACAUUCCCAAGUCCCUUUGCAUCUCUAAUUUCUGGAUCUUCCUCCAAAUGGAAUUUUGAAAGGUUAGGUUGUAGAAAGUUCAACUUCAGAAUCAUGAAGUGCAGGUGUUUUUCUGGAUAUUUUUAUUGGCAUACUUGGUUGCAUAUCUUCCAUAUAAUACACAUCCAGAUGGAGAGGUAAAUUACGUGAUAUUAAACUUUAUUUAGGAAUUACAAUCAUAAGCUCCCUUGUGUAGGAAAACCUCAGGUUAGCAUUUGUGCUUUCUGGUUAAAGGUAUAGUGCUUUAGUAAAGGUACAGUGAGCUAAGGGUACAGUGGGCUAAAGGUACAGUGCUUUUUGUUUAUAUAAUAAAGGUGCAGUUUAAAGGUCAAGAGGGAGCAGCUGUUGUGAGUCAGAUACCUGCUGAUUUCUCCCAGCAGUUUCUAUUGUAUUAUACUGGUAUCGGAUCCAGGGUAAGGCGGGAGAAUGACAGUCAGAGCAGUGUACUGUUCUGGAUGUCAGAUGUGGGAGGUCAUGGUGUCGGAUGGCCCUCCAGACGUCCACAUCUGCACCAGGUGCAGCGAGAUGGGGCUCCUAAGAGACCGUAUUAGGAUCCUGGAGCAGCAGCUACAUGACCUCUGUCUGAUCAGGGAGAGUGAGGAGGUCAUAGAGGGGAGUUAUAGGGAGGUGGUCACUCCAAAACCGCGGGAGAGAGACGUGGGUCACGCUAAGGAAGGGCAAGGGGCAGAGGCAGGAACGAGUGAGUACUCCAAUGUCGGUACACUUUGCAAAUAAGUACUCCUGUUUGAGUACGGAUGGGGUUGACAGCCUACCCAGGGGUAGCGACAGCGGACGGGCCUCCAGCACAGAGACCGGCCCUGUUGCUCCAAAAGGUAGGGAAAAAAAGAAGAGGGCAAUAGUAAUUGGUGACUCUAUUGUUAGGGGGUCGGAUAGACGAUUCUGUGGAUGCAGUCGGGAGACCAGGAUGGUGGUCUGCCUCCCUGGUGCCAAGGUCUCUGACGUGUCUCAACGCAUCUAAGAUAUCCUUAAAUCAGAGGGAGAGGAGACUGAGGUCGUGGUACAUAUAGGUACCAAUGACAUGGGUAAAAAAAGGGAAGAGGUCCUGAAGGGAGGAUUUAGGGAGUUGGGAGGAGAGUUAAGAAAAAGGACCAAAAAGGUAACAAUCUCAGGAUUACUGCCUGUGCCACGCGACAGUGAGAGUAGGAAUGGAGCUAGGUGGAGGAUAAAUGCGUGGCUGAAAGACUGGUGCAGAGGGCAGGGAUUCGAGUUCCUGGAUCAUUGGGACUUCUUUUGGGGAAGGUGGGACCUGUACAGAAAGGAUGGGUUGCACUUGAACCCGAGGGGGACCAAUUUCCUGGCGGGGAAAUUUGCAAAGGCUACUGGGGAGACUUUAAACUAGAAUGGUUGGGGCGAGGAACUCAAAUAGCAAAAACUAGUAGACGGAAUGGGAGGCAGGAAGCAGAAAAGGGAAGCACUCGGACACAA